rnacentral:rRNA from 1 species
ACGCUCGACACCUACUGGAGGCAGCAGUGGGGAAUAUUGCACAAUGGGGGAAACCCUGAUGCAGCGACGCCGCGUGAAGGAAGAAGUAUCUCGGUAUGUAAACUUCUAUCAGCAGGGAAGAAAAUGACGGUACCUGACUAAGAAGCCCCGGCUAACUACGUGCCAACAGCCGCGGUAAUCUGAGCGGGCUGGCAAGGC